AACGAACGCUGGCGGCAUGCCUAACACAUGCAAGUCGAACGAGACCUUCGGGUCUAGUGGCGCACGGGUGCGUAACGCGUGGGAACCUGCCCUUAGGUUCGGAAUAACUCCCCGAAAGGGGUGCUAAUACCGGAUAAUGUCUUCGGACCAAAGAUUUAUCGCCUUUGGAUGGGCCCGCGUUGGAUUAGCUUGUUGGUAGGGUAAAAGCCUACCACGGCGACGAUCCAUAGCUGGUCUGAGAGGAUGAUCAGCCACACUGGGACUGAGACACGGCCCAGACUCCUACGGGAGGCAGCAGUGGGGAAUAUUGGACAAUGGGCGAAAGCCUGAUCCAGCAAUGCCGCGUGAGUGAUGAAGGCCUUAGGGUUGUAAAGCUCUUUUACCCGGGAUGAUAAUGACAGUACCGGGAGAAUAAGCUCCGGCUAACUCCGUG
rnacentral:rRNA from 1 species